GACGAACGCUGGCGGCGUGCUUAACACAUGCAAGUCGAACGGAAAGGCCCUGCGUUCGUGGGGUGCCCGAGUGGCGAACGGGUGAGUAACACGUGUGUAACCUGCCCUUGACUUUGGGAUAACUUCAGGAAACUGGGGCUAAUACCGGACAGGAGCUCCUGCUGCAUGGUGGGGGUUGGAUAGUUUAGGCGGUUGGGGAUGGACUCGCGGCUUAUCAGCUUGCUGGUGGGGUAGUGGCUUACCCAGGCUUUGACGGGUAGCCGGCCUGGGAGGGUGACCGGCCACAUGGGGACUGAGGUACGGCCCAGACUCGUACGGGAGGCAGCAGGGGGGAGUAUUGCACAAUAGGCGGGAGCCUGAUGCAGCAACGCCGCGUGCGGGAUGACGGCCUUCGGGUUGUAAACCGCUUUCGCCUGAGACGAAGCGUGAGUGACGGUAAUGGGUAAAGAAGCACCGGCUAACUACGUG
rnacentral:rRNA from 1 species